rnacentral:rRNA from 1 species
CCUACGGGUGGCAGCAGUGGGGAAUAUUGGACAAUGGGGGGAACCCUGAUCCAGCCAUGCCGCGUGUGUGAAGAAGGCCCUCGGGUUGUAAAGCACUUUCAGUGAGGAAGAACGCCUGGUGGUUAAUACCCAUCAGGAAAGACAUCACUCACAGAAGAAGCACCGGCUAACUCCGUGCCAGCAGCCGCGGUAAUACGGAGGGUGCGAGCGUUAAUCGGAAUUACUGGGCGUAAAGCGCGCGUAGGUGGCUUGAUAAGCCGGUUGUGAAAGCCCCGGGCUCAACCUGGGAACGGCAUCCGGAACUGUCAAGCUAGAGUGCAGGAGAGGAAGGUAGAAUUCCCGGUGUAGCGGUGAAAUGCGUAGAGAUCGGGAGGAAUACCAGUGGCGAAGGCGGCCUUCUGGACUGACACUGACACUGGGGUGCGAAAGCGUGGGUAGCAAACAGGAUUAGAUACCCUAGUAGUC